GUGGGGAAUAUUGCACAAUGGGCGAAAGCCUGAUGCAGCCAUGCCGCGUGUGUGAAGAAGGCCUUCGGGUUGUAAAGCACUUUCAGUUGUGAGGAAAGGUGGGUAGUUAAUAGCUGCUCACUGUGACGUUAACAACAGAAGAAGCACCGGCUAACUUCGUGCCAGCAGCCGCGGUAAUACGAGGGGUGCAAGCGUUAAUCGGAAUUACUGGGCGUAAAGCGUUCGUAGGCGGUCUAUUAAGCAAGAUGUGAAAGCCCAGGGCUCAACCUUGGAACUGCAUUUUGAACUGGUAGACUAGAGUACUGUAGAGGGUGGUGGAAUUUCCAGUGUAGCGGUGAAAUGCGUAGAGAUUGGAAGGAACAUCAGUGGCGAAGGCGGCCACCUGGACAGAUACUGACGCUGAGGAACGAAAGCGUGGGGAGCGAACAGG
rnacentral:rRNA from 1 species